rnacentral:rRNA from 1 species
GUGAACGCUCGUGAUAUGCCUUACACAUGCGAGUUUUAAUUGAUAUAUACAUAUAUUAAUAGCGUACGGGUGAGUAAUACAUAAGAAUAUACUUUAUAUUAUAGAAAUUAAAAUCUAUUAAAAAAAACAGAAAAAAUAUAUAAAAUUUUUAUUAUUUUAUGUUUUUUAAAAAUUAAAAUUGAUAUAAAAUUAGCUUGUGUAGAAUUAGAUAGUUGGUAAGGUAAUGGCUUACCAAGUCUAUGAUUCUUAAUUGGUCUUAGCGGACGAUCAAUCACAUUGGGACUGAAACAUGGCCCAAACUCUUUUUUGAGGCAGCAGUGUGGAAUAUUGGACAAUGAACGAAAGUUUGAUCCAGCAAUAUCAUGUGAGUGAUGAAGGUUUAUUUUAUUGUAAAGCUCUUUCGUUGAGGAGGAUAAUGACGUUACUCAAAGAAGAAGUCCCGACUAACCUCGU